ACUUGUUGUUGGAAGAUUUAUUUUGUUAAUUUAAUGACACAAGCACUUCAAUCAGGUUUUAAUGAGUACGGUAGGUUAUAUACAUUUUUGGUUUAUGUGUCCAUUUGUUGCACUAGUUUGGUUGAGAAACAUUUGAAACAAGGUGCCACAAAUUUUGAAUACCAGCUACAUAUAGGGUAUGUAACAAGGUUCGGACGUAGAACCACACAUUCUACGUCCCUUCGGACUAGGUAAACAUAUGUAGAUUGUGAAUGACAAGUUUAAUCAAAAUUGAUACAACAGAUGACUUACAGUAACUCCUCAGAAUGGAUGCACUUGAUGUUCCAUUAAAACCUAUUUCUCAUUCCAGUUGUGGAUGCAAACUUUACCGUAUGUUCCAGGCAACUCAAACACCGUCAAGGAUCUUACGAUUAUACAACAAAACACGCUGAGGGCCAUUGGAAGUUUUUAUAAUUAUUGAUUAUUCUAUCAGUAGGGAACCCAGAAAUUCUGUCAAUUUUCAACAGAUACUUGCAGGAGAUGUUUGUGAAUAAUAACAUAUUUGCCAACAUUUUAGAAUUAGAAAGUGGUAGGUGCACUGCGAGGGAGCUUGUGAGGGGAAGGUUUGGAAGGGGGCAAUUUUUGAAAUCAAGACUUUUAAAUAGUGCAAUCUGGUGGCACUUUGUAGCAAUUAUUUCAAAGAAAGUACAUCACUGGUAUAAAUUCAUAAAAAAUGCAAAAAUAGGUAAAAUUACAGGUAUUAAGAAAUGUGAACUACCUAACACUACUGUAUACCUUGUUAAUAACCUUUUGCCAAAUAUGGUUGGUAUUCACUACUUAGAGUCAGUGGACAAAUCUUCCAUUUUCCCCAAAAGGUAGCCCACAUGCAACUCUGUUAACACAGCUUGUUAUUUGCCUGACAUGGAACAGUCUGAAAUUGCAGACUCUGCUCUACAACAGUUAGAACACUACAGAAGUAUUUAAUCAUUAUUUUAUAUCGAUUUAAACCAAACAAUUUAAAGCUUAAAUUUUCUUUCUUUUUUACUUAUUUUUUUUUUUGCUGAAAGUGGUAGGAAAGUUUUUAAAUGUGGUUGGCGGUAGAACUGUGAAGAAAUAGGUAGCCUACCGCAUGAAGUAUAAAUGAUGCAUAAUGUGUUUUGCAUUUUUGUUUCAGUUCUGAGGUACCAGUACUAUUAAUUUAUUUUUUAUUCUGAGCCAUGGCUGAUGCAAUUCCAACGAGUGAUGAAGAAGACAAGAUGUUUGAAAGCUCAUCCAGUGAAUCUGAUGGGGGAGAUGAGGCUUCAGAUGCUUCUGAUGGGAUCAAGAGAACAUUACAAAAUUUAACAAAAUGUAUUACAGGGAGAGCUAAACGAAGAAAGGCUUCCCUGACUCUGCCAUCCAUUUACGAAC